AGAGUUUGAUCAUGGCUCAGAUUGAACGCUGGCGGCGUGCUUAACACAUGCAAGUCGAGCGGUAACAGGCGUAGCAAUACGUGCUGACGAGCGGCGAACGGGUGCGUAAUACAUGGGAAUCUGCCUUUUAGUGGGGAAUAACCCGGCGAAAGCCGGGCUAAUGCCGCAUAAGAUCUUCGGAUGAAAGCGGGGGAUCGUAAGACCUCGCGCUGAUAGAUGAGCCCAUGCCGGAUUAGCUAGUUGGUGAGGUAACGGCUCACCAAGGCGACGAUCCGUAGCUGGUCUGAGAGCGCGACCGGCCACACGGGAACUGAGACACGGUCCCGACUCCUACGGGAGGCAGCAGUAGGGAAUAUUGGACAAUGGCUGAAAAGCUGAUCCAGCCAUCCCGCGUGAAGGCAGAAGGUCCUAUGGAUUGUAAACUUCUUUUCUCUGGGAAGAAAAGGCGGGUUUCUACCUGCUCUGACGUACCAGAGAAUAGAC
rnacentral:rRNA from 1 species